rnacentral:rRNA from 1 species
CUGCUGCCUUCCGUAGGAGUUUGGGCCGUGUCUCAGUCCCAAUGUGGCCGGUCACCCUCUCAGGUCGGCUACUGAUCGUCGCCUUGGUGAGCCGUUACCUCUCCAACUAGCUAAUCAGACGCGGGUCCAUCUCAUACCACCGGAGUUUUUCACACCAAACCAUGCGGUUUUGUGCGCUUAUGCGGUUUUAGCAGUCAUUUCUAACUGUUAUCCCCCUGUAUGAGGCAGGUUACCCACGCGUUACUCACCCGUCCGCCACU